UACGAAGGGGGCUAGCGUUGCUCGGAAUCACUGGGCGUAAAGCGCACGUAGGCGGCUUUUUAAGUCAGAGGUGAAAUCCUGGAGCUCAACUCCAGAACUGCCUUUGAUACUGGAGAGCUUGAGUCCGGGAGAGGUGAGUGGAAUUCCCAGUGUAGAGGUGAAAUUCGUAGAUAUUGGGAAGAACACCGGUGGCGAAGGCGGCUCACUGGCUCAUUACUGACGCUCAGGCGCGAUAGCGUGGGGAUCAAACAGG
rnacentral:rRNA from 1 species